rnacentral:rRNA from 1 species
AGACGUCUACAUUAGACUACCCCCGUAGUCCCAGCCGUAAACUAUGCGCGUUAGGUGUAUCGGUGACCACGAGUCACCGAGGUGCCGAAGGGAAACCGUGAAACGUGCCGCCGUGGGAAGUACGGUCGCAAGGCUGAAACUUAAAGGAAUUGGCGGGGAGCACCACAACGGGUGGAGCCUGCGGUUUAAUUGGACUCAACGCCGGGAAGCUCACCGGAUAAGACAGCGGAAUGAUUGCCGGGCUGAAGACUCUGCAUGACUAGCUG